CUCUUGUCUAAUCGAAAGGUAAGCGGCUUUUGUGUUCUUCGAUUAUGCAUGUCUUAAGAUUUAUGCAUGUUCUUGUUCUGAUCAGUAGUUUUUCUAUCUUAUUUGUUAGUUCUAGUUUAAUUUGUUGUACUUGUGCUGAUUGAAAGUAUGCCUAUUUUUCUUUCUUUCUUCGGUUCAAUUCGGUCUAUCGGUGGCGAUGGAGCUCUCCUCGACGGUGACGGAGCUCUAUCUCGGUGGCGACGAAGCUCUCUCUCGGUGGAGACGAAGCUCAAACGGUGGCUCUCCUCGAAUCGAAAGGUGGAAAUGGAGUCACGGCGUCUUGUACUUGUAGUCUUCUGUCACAGAGCAAACAGACGAGAACGAGUGGAGCAAGUCUUGUACUUGUAGUCUUGUGAGGAGUUUUGUAGUUUUGUGUCACACGUCUUGUGUCAGUCUUGUUGUUUUGUAUUGGUAUGUCACGAGGAGUUUUGUAGUUUUGUUGUUUUGUGUCAUAAGUCUUCUGUUUUCUUAGUUUUUUUGUCACAAGUCUUGACUUGUGUAUUUGUAUGUCACGAGUCUUGAAUCUAAAUUCAUAUUCUCUUUAUAAAAUAAGCUUGUGUA